rnacentral:rRNA from 1 species
UAGAGGAAGGAGAAGUCGUAACAAGGUUUCCGUAGGUGAACCUGCGGAAGGAUCAUUGUCGAUACCUGCAAAGCAGACAGCGAACACGUGUUUAACACCGGCGGCGUGCGGCUGGGGCGAUCCCCGUCGUGCGCACGUCUCCCCGCCGGCGUGCUCCCUCGGGUCACGCCGUGCKGGCUAACGAACCCCGGCGCGGAAUGCGCCAAGGAAUACCUAACGAAGCGUCCUCCCCCCGCACCCCGUUCGCGGACCGUGUGGGGGCGACCGGAUGUCUUACAAAUGUCAUAACGACUCUCGGCAACGGAUAUCUCGGCUCUCGCAUCGAUGAAGAACGUAGCGAAAUGCGAUACUUGGUGUGAAUUGCAGAAUCCCGUGAACCAUCGAGUCUUUGAACGCAAGUUGCGCCCGAAGCCAUUCGGCCGAGGGCACGUCUGCCUGGGCGUCACGCAUCGCGUCGCCCCCCACCCUGCGCUUAGCGAAAGGGCGGGGAGCGGAAACUGGCCUCCCGUUCGCCUUUGGUGUGCGGCUGGCCCAAAUGCGAUCCCUCGGCGACUCGCGUCACGACAAGUGGUGGUUGAACACUCAAUCUCUUGCGUCGUCGUKCCGCUGUGUCGUUCCCACGGGCAUCAAACAGCGACCCUACGGUGGCGGUGCCUCACGGCUCCACACCUUCGACCGCGACCCCAGGUCAGGCGGGAUUACCCGCUGAGU